rnacentral:lncRNA from 1 species
CGACACUACCCACAACUUGUCUACGGAGCCUCUAAAUACAACUGAAGAAUAAUAUGGAAAUUCCGGAAAUAAGGCUCCGGCUAUACCUCAAAUACAAAGUACAUCAUACACAGAUGAAACAGAACCCCAAAACGAAGUGGGGCUCACCAAGUCAGCUGAAAGGAUGAUGCGGCACUAGCUGCGACCAACUGUGCCUGCUAUAGAAACACCUACAUCCAUUAAAAGACGUAGCGCCCCAGCAAAAGGGACGUUAGUGCCAAAAAAUAGCACCAGUAUGUAUAACUAAACACCAUCUCAUUAGAAAGAACAACCAUAUAAGGACAACGAAAUCAUAAGGAUUCAACAAAAGCUUUAAACAAUCACUACAUCAUCAAAUAGAAGGAAUCACAUAGCUUUCACAUAAUUUUCAUAGCUUUAGUUUGGGACUUUUAAUAUUGUUCAUCAUCAUUCACAAUACCACGGUUUUCUUGAGCGGAGUCCAAUCACGGCCCGAUCGGCUAAGCCAUCUUACAAGACGUUACCCUUAUUUCAGUCUCACUUUCCAGUUUCAAUUAUCAUUGCAUUACCACCAUGUGUGUAUAACAUGGCAUCCGAUCACGUCCCGAUCGGCUAAGCCAUCUUACAAAACGUUACCCUUUUCCAUUACACAUCUCACUUCAAUAUUUGGUUUCACAUGUAUUAGUUCAUCGGCACUUGGGGCCAUAAUUAUCACAUCAUACUUGGCAUUAGGCCAUAUUUCAUAACUCUCAUUCCACAUCACUUUCACUUUCAACAUCAAACUUGCAAUUUAAGAUAAUGGGCACAUACAAGAGCAAUUCAAGUUAUAAGCAUAGAGCAGAAUUCUCAUGAUUCGGCAUAAUAAUCAGAAUUUAACUUGACUUGAAAUCUAGGUAAUUUAGCAUAUAGUUCACGUUCUUCAUAUAUCCCCAAUUACCAAGAAUAGCACAACAUAUUGAGACACACCUUUCACAUAUAUUCUUGCAACACCAAAUCUUUUGAAAUAACAAAUACUACAUAAUUCAAAUUCUAGACAUACAACAUAUGCAGGGACACCAUGGGAGCUCAAUUUCUAAGAAGAGGGGAUUUUAGCCAUACAUACCUUGUUUAAGCUUUCCUUAUGUUACUACGACGUUCCGGAAAUUCUAGCAAUCCCAAUCUACUUUGAGACAUAACAAAAUUGAACAUAAAUUAGGAAGGUAUUCGUGGUUUCAGCUCAUUUGAGCAUUUUAUCAGAUACUAGUUGAGCAUCCUGAUUUCAAAUCUCUUUUACAAGAUUUCCUUCAUUCCCCAACCCAAUCAUUAUUUAUUUAUGUUCAACAAUCUUUCUACAAACCUAGUUUGUACAUGCAUGUAUACAUAAUACUAUUACAUCCAAGAAUCAUACCUCAAUAACCUAUCUCACAAUCUCUACAACACCAACACAACCUAGGUUAGGCACCUAUGGCUUCCAAUCACCAUCCCAUAAGUUCUAACAUAUAUGUCAUACAUAAAUAAUCACCAUAGAGUAGUUCGAGAUGAUAGACAUACCUCUUGUAGUAAGAAUCUUGAGAAUCCCCACUUGUAGUGUUUUUGAUAAAUUUAGCGAUUUGAAUGGGAAUCUAUGGAUUUUCAAGAUCAAUCCUUGUUAAUAUAAGUAUUUAAGAGUAGUAAUCAACUCAAAAUACUCCAAAAACAUUACCUUGGAUCAUAGAAGGGAAGUAUGGGACGGAUUCCCCUUGAUAGAGCAAGCCCUAGCUCAAAAAAAUGACUUAGAGACUCUCCAUACCCGAUCUUGGGGUAUUUAUAGGGCUUCUAGGUGCACGACCGCGGUCAAACUACGCCCGGGAUGCAGUGGCCGCGCUUGUACCUCGCUCGGGCCGCGCUUGGAGGCAGAAACUUUCAAUUUUCCCGCGGCCGCGCUGCGGACGCGCCGCGGAUGCGCGUCUGACAUAGGUCUGGUAAAAUAGUCAUAACUUUCUGUAUACACCUCUAAAUUACAAACGGUUUGAUGAGUUGGAAACUAGACUAAAAAUGCUUUAAUUUGAUAGGUUGUGCAUCACACAACACGUUAUAUAACUGGAGAUAUGCUUGUCCAAAAUGAGGUCUUGUGCGUACUUAUUUACAACUUUAGUCUAUUAUGAAAUUUUCCAACUUGGCUUAGACUUAGGCCUCUCCUUAGACCCCAAAUCACUUAUAAUAUGACUUAUACUCUUAUUAACAUAUCCAACUGAUAUCCGGUGAUUCCUUAUAUGCACGCUAGAUAAAAUAAUUAGUCUACCUUGGCACCACGAAAUCUUAAAUUACUUAGAAAAAUUUUCUGGGGCUUUAUAUUUUUCCCCGCUUAAGAUCAUUCAUCCUCGAAUGAGGAUCAAGUUUCAUUCAUUAGUCAUUCUUAUGUGACUUCAGCUUUUUAACAUCAUGAAAUAUAUCAACAUCCCUGAAUUUGGCUAACUCCUUAAAUUUCAAAAUUUCGCUAGAGUUUCAUUUGUAACUAGGCAUGUCCACCUAUCAGAGGGCCCCAGAUACAUAUCCUAACAGCAUAUACAUGUUCCAUAGACAUAACAUAACUUGUACAAAACCAACCAUGGCCGAAUAGGCAACAUAUAUAACCAAAAUGGAAUAGUUUAACAUAGAUCAAAUAAAAAGAUAAGAGUUCAUAGGAACCAAAUGCAUAAAAGCUAUUACAUGACUAUUCAAACAAAUGUGGGUACUUCUUUCUCAUUUAUUCCUCGGCUUCCCAAGUGGCUUCCUCAACCUGCUGGUUCCGCUAUAACACUUAUACGGAGGCAAUUUCCUUAUUUCUCAAUUUCCGGACUUGCCUAUCAAGAAUGGCAACUAGAAUUUCUUUAUAAGAUAGUUCUUCAUUAACCUCAAUAGCUUCACUUGGCACAAUAGCGGACGAAUCUCCCACUACCUUCUUCAACAUAGAUACAUGGAAGACCGGAUGUACCAACGACAUCUCAGGUGGCACCUCGAGCUUGUAUGCCACUUAAUCAAUCCUCUGAAUGAUUCUGUACGGUCCGACAUACCUCGGACUUAAUUUCCCUUUCUUCCCGAAUCGCAUGAUGCCCUUCAUGGGGAAAACCUUCAAAAAUACCCAAUCAUCUUCUUUGAACUUCAAAUCUCUGCGAUGAAUGUCCGAAUAAGACUUUUGGUAACUCUGAGCAGAUUUCAACCUCUCCUUAAUCAUUUUGACUUUCUCCAUGGCCUGAUGCACAAGGUCUAGCCCUAUCAAUUCAGCUUCUCCAACCUCGAACCCCCCCCUAAUAGGAGAUCUACAUCUCCUACCAUAAAAUGUUUCAAAUAGUGCCAUCUGAAUACUAGCAUGAAAGCUGUUAUUAUAAGCAAACUCUACGAGUGACAAAUGAUCAUCCCAGCUACCUUUGAAAUCAAUAACACAAGCACACAACAUGUCCUCAAGCGUUUGAAUAAUCCGUUCCGCUUGCCCGUCGGUUUGUGGAUGAAAAGGUGUGCUAAGAUUUACCUGCGUACCCAAACCUUGCUGAAAUUUCUUCCAAAGGUUGGUCGUGAACUGAGCCACUCGAUCAAAAAUGAUAGAAAAUGGGGUUCCAUGCAACCUGAGUAUUUCUUUGAUAUACAACUAAGCAUAUUGUUCCGAUGUGUUGGUAGAUUUGACUAGCAAGAACUGUACUGAUUUCGUGAGUCGAUCCACGAUUACCCAAAUUGUGGCGAACUUGCGGAGAGUGCGUGGUAAUCCUACCACAAAAUUCAUAUUGAUCAUUUCCCAUUUCCACAUUGGGAUUUCUACGCUCUGUGCCAAUCCACCAGGCCUUUGAUGUUCGGCUUUCACUUGCUAAUAGUUCGGAUAUUUUGCCACGUAGUCUGCCACAUCACUUUUCAUGUUAUUCGACCCAUAAACUUCCUUGAAAUCAUGAUACAUUUUUUUUAGAACCUGGGUGGACGGAAUACUUAAAACUAUGAGCCUCAACCAUGAUUCUUUCCCGAAGAUCAUCUACAUCUAGAACACAUAGCCACCCCUGGUAUCGUAGUGUACUAUCAUCCAUGCCAAGAGAGAAAAAAAAUUGUGGUCUAAUGUUCAUGAAUCCCCUCCUUCAGCUGUGCUAGCAAUAGAUCGUUGCAUUGCUUUUCUUUCACCUCCGCUACAAGCGACGAUUCAGCCCUAUUAUGCACAAUUACUCCUCUUUCACUAGAGUCCGCAAGAUGAACUCCUACACUAGCCCACUGGUGAACUUCCCUGGCCAACGACCUUUGGUAUGCCUUCAAAUGAGCCAAACUUCCUAUAGAUUUCUGGCGAAGAUCAUCCACCACAAUAUUGGCCUUUCCCCGGGUGAUAGAGAAUAUCGAUAUCAUAGUCCUUGAGCAACUCGAGUCAUUUUCUCUGUCUCAGAUUCAACUCCUUUUGUUUGAAAAUAUAUUGAAGGCUUUUGUGGUCCGUAAAUACAUCCACGUGGACCCCAUACAAAUAAUAUCUCCAAAUCAUUAGUGCAAACACCACAGCCGCAAGCUCUAAGUCAUUUGCUGCAUAGUUCUUUCCAUGAUUCUUGAGUUGCCUAGAGGCAUAAACUAUCACCUUAACAUGUUGCAUCACUAGUGGAACAUUUUUAUCAUAUUUCUCUUAUGUAGGACCUCCCACAAAUUGAGUACUUCAAUAAUUUCCAUGAUAUGGUUACAAUCUCCUGUGAAUACUUGCAACUAACUCUUCCAAAUUCUCAACAAAAGACAUUAUUGAAUGAGUUUCUUUUUUUUCAUAGGACCUUCUGUCUCAAAUGAAUAACACCUGCUAAUUUGCGCACAUACCCUGAUAACAUCAACCUGCACGACAUUGCAUCAAAUGUAAGGUAAUAUUUUGCUCCGACUUUUCUUAGCCAACCUCUUCUCCCCAUAUGUGCCUUGUAGAAUUUAAGAAACCACAUUACUUCCCCUGUGAAUAUUCUCACGAUCCCUCUUUAUGGUUAAACACCCCCAAAACACAUAUCAACCAACACCUUUUUUAUGUAUACAAUUUAGGAAGAGUCACUGGCCCGAGAAGGACAUUCUCUGAAACUUAAGAUCCUCCUCAAUUCUUCAACAACAACUUUUGAUUUUACUCUUAAGUGUAAAACUUAGUCCACCUGAUUCUAUCCUCGAUGAGUAACUCACCUCAUUCCCCGUAUUGUAGCUACCAAUAGAGUUCCCUGAUAUUGCGGUUUAAGAGUUACCAUAUUCAACAUGUCUGGUCUAUAACAAGUGUUCAUCCUCUUUCAAUCUAUUUUGAACCUUUCAUUUGCCCUUUGGGUAGAUUGUGUUGUCUUUCCCCCUUUUUUUAUCGCCCUUUGGCCUGGACAAUAUGUUGGUACCAUCUUUUCCUUCUAACUGGAACAUUCAUUCCCAUUCUAUUUUGCUCAUAGUGCAUAAUUGAUAGACUUAUUGUGCACUUGUCUACCUCCCGUGAACUUGUAAUAUUAUUGUGCCUGGUUUAGUGAGUCUAUCAUACCACAACUUCACCUCCAGUAGUCUCACUUUCCAUUGUAUGUAGACAUAAACUAUCUCUAGAUCCUUUAGUUGAUAGUUGGUGUCACCCAAGUCGGUUGCAUUACGGUUAGUCCUUUAUAACUUUUAUUAACACUUAUGCUCUAAGCGAUUCCACCAUUCUGAUACAAGAUAUUUUAUGAUAACUAUGACUAUCUCAAUUUAUAGCUUUUCUCCCAAUUUCUUCUCACCUCAUUCUUCCUAGAUAGUGAAUAGCCACACACUCUUCAAUAUGUUACGUGGUCUUUUCCCUUAGUUAUUUCAUCAUGCUCACCUCUUAACUCUUGUGAGGAUAUUCAUGGGAAAGUGUGUUCAUCCGCAUAUCACUUAACACUUAUUUGCUUGUAAGAUUCUUUUUUUAGGCUCUCCAUCAAGCCCAAAUACCCUCUUGGGUUAUUAUAGCAUCACAUUUAUUUCUCCCACUCGUUCCACCUUUCUUAACGUCAUGGAACUUUGGUUGAAUCGCAAAUCUAUGAUUAACCCAUUCUAAAAACUCGCAACCUUCCAUAUUUGACCUAUAGUACUUCCUUAGGUUCCAUUGUUCCUGACCCUCCAACAAGUAUAAAAUCCCUUUACAAACUUACUCUUAGUUUCUAGGAUCGUUGACCCUAUUAUUCACAUUGCCAUGUUUGAAGAAUUUACCUUCCUUAACCGUCCACCUUUUUGGGGGUACUAGUGGUCUACCAUUAGCAUAUCCUUUUAUAGAUAAUCAUGUUAUCCAUUAUCACUUUUCUAGACUACGCAUGUCUUUAACAAAAUAUUCAAACAUCAUAGUUACAUGGUCUUACUCUUGUUUCAUUGUAUUUAAGUGGCCUCACUAUGGCCUUCCUCCCCCACUUGGGGCGAAUGUCCCGAAUUUCGACAAAAGUCUUGAAUUUUGGCAACUUUAGGGACAUAUGUCUCCUAUCUCUAUCCCUUAUAUAUAUAUGUUCGACUAUUAGCAAGAUUUAAGUCACCAUGGUAUUAAUCUCAUAAGUUCUCUUCUCUUAUUUAGCCACACGGGCUUGAGAUUCCAAUUCCUCAUGUCAAUAUCCAUUAGGAGUGUAAUAUCACUUCGUACACUUCUGGAUUUUUAUAAAGUUCAUAGUAGAGGGGUCUUCUCACCGUGGGUUCAAUUGACUCUCCUUUCAUAACUUCUUGUCUCCUAGGAGAGACUUGUACUCUCAUCAUUAAUCUCCUGGUCAUGUCUCCCAUAUAUCACGUGCUUAUACAACGAAUUUUCUUUCACACAUUAGAAUCAUUUACAUACCUCUCACACUACCCACAUGUGCUAUUCAAGCUUACAUAUUACUUAUCAAUUCAAUGUUUCUUUAGAGGUGGUAAUCAUUUUUAAUACUUUUCUCGAAUAAAUUAUGCUCAUAGUACAAUGUACUUAUCCUAUAUGCCCAUACCAUAAGUUCAACAAGAUACAUCUGCCAUCUCCUUAAUAUUGAUGCCUUUUCCCAAUUGUCAUGCCAUAUGACAACAUUACUUGAAAUAGACAAACAAGUGUUUAAAGGUACCUUGAAUCUCAACGCACGAGUUAGAAAACAAUCUUAUAGUCAAGCUUUAUCGCAACGAUCCGGAGUGUUGAAGAAGGGUAACAUUCCUAAAUAUCCGUGUAGCCUCCAACUUAGAGAUGUGGUCGACAACAUACCGAUAAGAAGGACUCUACUAGACACGGCUUCGAGACAUCCUAGGACAUUUUAAAACCUUAGGCUCUGAUACCAAGUUUGUCACGCCCCAAAAUCCGAGGAGCGUGACCGGCACUCAACCGAGUAAACCCAACUGAGCAAGUCUGUUAGUUUUCAUACUACCCAAAUUCGUCUUUGAAUAAAGAGGAAUGUACACCAUUAAUCAAAUUCUAUAAACAUGUCAUUAACAAGUCCAUUUCAUUUCCAUUAACAACUUCGUUCACAAUUUUUAAGAUAUUACAGGUUUUAUACAUUAUUGCCAAACAUCAAUAUUUCUACUUUAAUUCCAAUACCCGACACUACCCACAACAUGUCUGCGGAGCCUCUAAAUACAACUUAAGAAUAAUAUGGAAAUGUCGGCAACAAGGCUCCGGCUAUACCUCAAAUACAAAGUACAUGAUAAACAAAUGAAACAGGACCCCGAAACGAAGUGGGGCUCACCAAGUCAGCUAAAAGGAUGAUGCGGCGCUAGCUGCGACCAACCUUGCCUGCUAUAGAAACACCUACAUCCAUUUAAAGACGUAGCGCCCCCGAUAAAAGGGACGUUAGUGCCAUCGAAUAGCACUAGUAUGUAUAACUAAAUACCAUCUCGUUAGAAAGAACAACCAUACAAGGACAAAGAAAUCAUAAAGAUUCAACAAAAGCUUUAAACAAUCACUACAUCAUCAAAUAAAAGGAAUCACAUAGCUUUCACAUAAUUUGCAUAGCUUUAGUUUGGCACUUUUAAUAUUGUUCAUCAUCAUUCACAAUUCCACCACUUUCUUGAGCAGAAUCCGAUCACGGCCUGAUCAGCUAAGCUAUCUUACAAGACGUUACGCUUAUUUCAGUCUCACUUUCCAGUUUCAAUUAUCAUUGCAUUACCACCAUGUGUGUAUAACAUGGCGUCUGAUCACGGUCCGAUCAGCUAAGCCGUCUUACAAGACGUUACCCUUUUUCGUUACCCAUCUCACUUCAAUCUUUGGUUUCACAUGUAUUAGUUCACUGGCACUUGGGGCCACAAUUAUCACAUCAUACUUGGCACUAGGCCAUAUUUCAUAACUCUCAUUCCACAUCACUUUCACUUUCAACAUCAAACUUGCAAUUUAAGAUAAUGGGCACAUAUAAGAGCAAUUCAAGUUAUAAGUAUAGAGAGGAACUCUCAUGAUUCGGCAUAAUAAUCACAAUUUAACUUGACUUUAAAUCUAGGUAAUUUAUCAUAUAGUUCAUGUUCUUCACAUAUCCCCAAUUACCAAGAAUAGCACAUUGAACACAUUCAGACACACCUUUCACAUAUAUUCUUGCAACACCAAAUCUUUUGAAAUAACAAAUACUACAUAAUUCAAAUUCCAGAAAUACAACAUAUGCAGGGACACCAUGGGAGCUCAAUUUCUAAGAAGAGGGGGUUUUAUCAAUACAUACCUUGUUUGAAUUUUCCUUAAGUUACUACGACGUUCCGUAAAUUCUAGCAAUCCCAAUCUACUUUGAGACAUAACAAAAUUGAACACAAAUUAGGAAGGUAUUCGUGGUUUCAGCUCAUUUGAGCAUUUUAUCAAAUACUAGUUGAGCAUCUUGAUUUCAAAUCUCUUUUACAAGAUUUCCUUCAUUCCUCAACCCAAUCAUUACUUAUUAUGUUCAACAAUCUUCCCACAAACCUAAUUUGUACAUGCAUGUAUACAUAAUACUAUUACACCCAAGAAUCAUACCUUAAUAACCCAUCUCACAAUCUCUACAACACCAACACAACCUAGGUUAGGCACCUAUGGCUUCCAAUCACCAUCCCUUGAGUUCUGGUGUAUAUAUCAUACAUAAAUAAUCACCAUAGAGUAGUUGGAGAUGAUAGACAUACCUCUUGUAGUAAGAAUCUUGAGAAUCCCCACUUGUAGUAUUCUUGAUCAAUUUAGGGAUUUGAAUGGGAAUCAAUGGAUUUUCAAGAUCAAUCCUUGUUAAUAUAAGUGUUUAGGAGUAGUAAUCAACUUAAAAUACUCCAAAAACAUUAUCUUGGAUCAUAGGAGGGAAUUAUGGGAUGGAUUCCCCUUGAUAGAGCAAGCCCUAGCUCAAAAGAAUGACUUAGAGACUCUUCAUACCUGGUCUAGGGGUAUUUAUAGGGCUUCUAGGCGCGCGAUCGCGGUCAAACUGCACCCGGGACGCAGUGGCCGCGCUCGUACCUCGCUCAGGCCGUGCUUGGAGGCAGAAACUUUCAGUUUUCCCGCGGCCGCGCCGCGGACGCGCGUCUGACACAGGCCCGGUAAAAUAGUCAUAUCUUUCUGUAUACACCUCCAAAUGACAAACGGUUUGAUUAGUUGGAAACUAGACUCAAAGAGCUUUAAUUUGAUAGGUUUUUCAUUGCACAACACCUUAUAUAAAUGGAGAUAUGCUUAUCCAAAGUGAGGUUUAGUGCGUACUCAUUUACAACUUUAGUCUAUUAUGAAAUUUUCCAACUUGGCUUAGACUUAGGCCUCUCCUUAGACCCCAUAUCACUUAUAAUAUGACUUAUACGCUUAUUAACAUAUCCAAUUGAUAUCCAUUAUAUCAUGAAUCCUCAUUUGCACGCGAGAUAAAAUAAUUAGCCUACCUUGGCACCACGAAAUCUUAAAUUACUUAGCAAAAUUUUCAGGGGCUUUACAUUGAUUCUUUUUUUCUUUUUCUUUUGAUGGAGUUACUAAGAAAGACUGCUCCACGUUCGAAUUCGUAGGAUUAUGAAAUAUUUUAUUUGGUAUGACCGAACCAUAAGGCUGCCUACGUAUCUUGUGGUGACAAGAAUCAGGUCAAAUGUAGUUCAAAAAGAUACUUUUUGUUGUUGCUAUUUUUCUUUUCCUUUUUCUUUUUUUCUUUUUUUUCUUUUUCCCUCCUUUUUUUUCUUUUUCUCUUUUUUCAUUUUUUAUUUUUUCUUUAUCUCUAUUUUUCUUUUCUUUUUUGAAUUUUCCUUUUGGAAUGAACUUUCUAAGAUAAACCUAUGGGACAUGAAUUCUUUUUUAUUUUGUAUAACUCUAACUUGAUUCCAAAAGAGUGGAGGUCAAAUAAAUCAGUACAGGCUCAAAAGGGGUACCAAAGGGUAUAAAGUAUUUGGAUAGCUAAAAGAGGGCCUCCCAACCCCUGAAAAUGCCAAGUACGACACAUGCAACUUGAAAUGAAAACGGAAGAGCACCGAACAUUUUUUUACAGCUUCAACAUUGAUAUCACUGAUAUGCUUUCCACCCUUUUUUUACUGCCUUGUCAAGUACAGAACUCUCAUUGGGUGAUUUCUUCUUCACGAUGGAUACCCUCUGUCUGUUUGGAGCAAACUCCCUUGAAUUUGUCUUGUAAAUUGAGGUGCACUUGAACUCAAAAUUGCUCGCUUCAAAUUGUAUGGGAUGCACUCUCCUUUAAUGAAUUCUUGUCAUCCUAUUAACUUCCCAAAUUAUCUGCCCUAAUUUCACACAGUAUGGGCUUCAAAUGAUCUCAAAAUGUCGAAAUCUGUACUUAUUUCCCUCAAGUGUCCCUAUCAUUUUUAAAAUUGUUUCAUCGUUUCAUGACUAAACUAGUUUUUAAGACCAGGUUGCGAAUUACACGUGCAUGUCAUGUCACUAGAGUCAACAGGAAUAAAACUAUAAAGAAAAAGAGAACUAAACAAAAAUUACUAGAAAUAACAGAAAAUAGAAAAUUGCAUUAGACAGACAGUGAAACGGUUCGAACAACAAAUCAACCAAACUAAACUGGGGUUAUAAUCCUGGAACAAACCUACAUAACAUUAAACGAGUUACUACGACUAAUUGAGCUAGGAAAAAUAAAAGGAUAGAAGGGUUUGAGUCUUAAGACAAUAUCCAGAUUACAACCCUGAAAUAACCCAGACAACAGAAAUGAUAACAAAAUAAACCACCAGAAACUCCUCCCUGACUAGCCAAGAAAGGAGCAUCUUUCCAAUCACCAAGCUCAACAUCUUAGUCACUGAGUUCUUCAUCAACAGUACUAGGACCUUCACAUGUCUUCAUCGUAUUGUCCUUAGAAAAUUGCUUUUGGGUCCCUUUUGCCGGCUCGUUCUUAGGAUCAACUUCCGAAACCAAGAGUGAUAGCGCUGAAAGCUUUGCGGCCAGUGGCCUUUUGAGGAUCUCAAAAGAAUUCUAAUAUUCUUUUUCAAUACAAAUCAUACCCACCAUAUGCGUCUCAUUAUGAACAGGCGAUGGACUUUGGCUAGUGUCUACUGCAUUUGAAUUUUGCACGACAAUGUCACCUGCAUUAAUAAGCUUCUGAACUUCUCUUUUCAGAUGCCAACACUUUUGCGUGUUGUGACCCAGGGCAUUAGAGCAAUAUGCACACCUUUGAGAAUAAUCAAAAUUCUUUGGACGAGGGUUUGACAUUUUUAUCUGAACCGGUUUUAGCAUGUCCAGUUGCCUCAAUUUUUGGAAUAAACUGGCAUAUGAUUCUCCAAUAGGAGUGAAAGUCUUUUCUUUUUUCUAUUGCCUUUUGAUUUUGUACUCUUUCCUCAGUUGGAACCUUUUGCAGGUAGGUGGUUGAGAUGUUUGAGGAGGCGGGUAAGAUAUUUGCAAAAAUAGUGCAGGCCAUCGCGGGUCCUAUGGAUGUGGAGCAUAUAGUGGUGCUUUGUGGACGGAGUACAGGGAAGGUGAUGUACGACUUUGGGGGUUUUGUGGAGAGAAUUAGAAUUGGGGAGGAUUACAAGGAUAUCCAUGGGGUCGGUAUCGAGGUUGAAAGCGUUGAGCAGGAAUGCCCACCGGAUCUUGUCGUUGGCGCGGCUCAACAAAAUCUUUUCUAUUUCUCUUUCUUUUAGCCAAACUUACUGAGAUGUUCUGAAUGUCUUCUGUAGUAUCUUUCAAUGCCGAAUAACUCAUGAUUUUGCCUGACUUGAUUCCCUCUUCUACCACCUCCCCUAUUUUUACCACAUUAUUGAAAGGUUUACCCAAGGUCGGGAUCAAAUGACUGAAGUAGGUGGGCCCCUGGGAUUGUAGGAAAAGCUCAACCAUUUCUUCUUCACCAAUCGGGGGACUGACUCGAGCAGCAUGUUCCCUCCAUCUGAGCUCAAACUCCCUAAAGCUUUCCUCCGAUUUCUUUUCCAUCUUAGAUAGGGAGGAGGGGUCUGGGGUAAUUUCUAUAUUGUAUUGAAAGUGUCAAACAAAAUCUUGAGACAUGUCAUGCCAUGUAUGUCACUUACUGACAUCUUGACGUGUAUGUCAUUCUAAGGCUGCCCCAGUCAAGCUCUCACUGAAAUAUGUCAUCAACAAAUCAUCUUUCCUGUUAGCACUUCUCAUUUCACUGCAAUAACCCCUCAGAUAGGCCACUGGAUCUCCACGCCCAUCAUACAAGUUAUACUUUGGCAUUUUAAACCCCGCGGGCAGAUGAACAUCAGGGAACAUACACAAGUCAUUGUAAAACAUGUUAAUGUGAUUUCCCAUCCCUUACAUGCUCCUUAAGGACUCUUCUAUACCUUUCAGCUUCCUGGAUAUCUCAUCUCGCCCUUCUUUUCCUGUGAAUUUUUCAUUUUCAACAUAAGGCUCAUUCCGAGCGUUCUGAUUGUAUAAGUCAGGAACCUUGUGGGCAACCUCUGAGGGGUAAUAUUGGAAAUCAUAAGCUUUGAGUGGGUGUUCAUUGUUGGAUAUAUGAAGGGAAGAUUGUUGAGAAGUUGUGAUUAUGGGGAUAGUGGAUAUGACAGGAGGGCAAUUUUGGGAAAAGGUAAUUGCAGGACGAGUGAUGGAGCUACUAGGUUGGUUGGGAAAGCUGUGAUAAGCGGGUGGAUCUGGAGGGUAUGGGGGAUCAUCUGGCACCAUGACCGGAGUUUGGGUAAGGGUAGCAUCUAAGAAGCUAGGUGGUGGCGGGGGUGGUGCCUUCCCAGUCAUCCAAGCCUAAUACAUGUUUGUCAUGUGUUUUCUUAACAUCCUUACCUCUUCAACCAACCCGUUGCCCUGUUCAACCAAUUGCUUUUGGGCACCAGUAUCAACCGACCCAAUUCCGUUGCCGUCUGCCAUUGCCUUUCGACCUUAUGUUGUAGAGAAGAGUUACCACUUUAAGAACUACAAACCAACCACCCUUCUGCUAUAAUGAAGAUAACAAAAGGAAUAAAAUGAAGUCAUCACGUUAGUGUUAGAGCAUUUAACAUAAGAUAAUCUCACAUUAUGUGCAAUGCACUUAGUCACAAUUAAUGGUUCAAGAAUGACUUCGAGGGUCACAAGGCCACUUGACAUCAUCCCAAUUUGUCCAUUUGAAUGUUCUCUUUUCUUUUCUUUUCUAGCACUUCUUGGCUUACUCAUUUUCCUUCCCUUUUUUUUUUCUAAUUAUCACUUUUUUCUUUCCGCUCAUUUCUCACAUCCCAUAAUUUCAUCUUUUCUUUUAUCUUUUUUUUUCUUCUUUUGUUUUAAACUAAAAAAAUGAUUCGAUCAAACCCUAUGUAGGUUGCCUAUGUAUCAUGACGCCGCAUGAAUCAGAUCUUAUCGUAGUUCGGGAAAAUCGGGAAUAAAGUAAACAAACUAACGUUCUCAGUUUCUAUUUCUUUUUUUUUCUUUUUACCUUAAUGACUACUCUAAUGGGAAAAGAAAAAUAAAAGAAGCAAAUUCUUUUUUUUAAUUUUCUAGACUUAAUAUUUUAUAACCUAUUAUAAAUUCAAGCUUAAUGAGCAUAUUUGUUUUCUCUCCUUUUUUUAUUUUUGAAACAAAUACUAUAUGGGAAAUUAUUAAGGAAAAACCCCAAGAAGAGAAAAAUAUUUUUUGAUUGUUUUUUUAGGAAGGAAAUCUAAAGAAUAAACCAAAGAAAAUAUUUUGAAUUUUCAUUUGAUAUCCCUGAAGAAGUAUUUCGAAAUGAUAAAUGAACAAGAUAAAAAAAUAUUUUUGGAUUUCAGUUUUUGAUUACCUAAGGAAGAAACUUUAAAUAUAAAUAAAAGAUAAAGUAUGUUUUUUUUCUUUUAUGUACAAUAUCCUAAAGUUCUAAUGAAAAUAAAAAGAAUUUUUUUUUAUUUUUCAUUAAUUUCCCAAAGAAGAACCUCAAAAGAAAAUUGUUUUUGGAUUUUUGGAAUUAAUACCUUAAAGAAAACUUUUUAAAGAGGUGCUAAAAGAAAAUUCUUUUUUUUUUUUUUUUGGAAUUUUUUAGUCUUAAUGUACUAAAGCAGAUUAUUAAAGCAAUUUUUAUUUUGAGUUCUAGAUAUUAAUUUCCUAAGAAAAACCACAAAAGAAUUUUUUGAACAUCAUAGAGUUAGUAUUCUAAAGAAAACAUCUAACAGAAAUAUAAAACGCAAAUUUUUUUUUUUUUUAUGGAUUUUUGAGUUUUAAAACAUUUUUUCAAAUACAAAAUAGAAAGUACAAUAACAAAAGACUCGACAUUACUGUACAAAACUAGAAAAAAAAGAUGACAUAAAAUGAAAAACGGACUCAAAACAUAACAAAAUAAAAAAAAUAUCUUUAAGCUAUUCCUGAAUGAGCGAUCCUAACUAGAUGGUCCCGGGGUGUCUGUCGUGCUCAAACUCCGAUAAAUAGACCCACACCUGUAUUAGAAAAUUAAGAUCAAAUAAAGUUAAGGACCUAAACUCUUUUUGGAUUUUCUUUUACCUCUUUUUUUUCGAAAAAUGAUGAAAAAGUGCAAAAUCCUUUUUUUUAUUGAAUUUUUCAUGUUUUUUUUUUUGUCUUUUUCUUAACAAAACGUGACAGAAAAAAUAAUUGUGCCCUACUUGCUUUAUUUUCACAAUUCACCCUCUUUUCUUCCUCAUUUACCCUCAGUCAUCAUUGGUCCACCAAAUGACCCUUUUACCCUGGAAGAAAUGUAGUAUGUAGCACAUAGGAUGCAUCAGGAUGGUCUUUUAUUUUUGGGUACACCUGUCAUAGACGGACCAACCCUUGUAUUGAGUCCUCAAAGUCAAAUGCACGUGAUUCAAACAAAUGUUCCUACUAGGGAUCCGGCAUGAGGCUGUGUUUUUCUAGGUUUUAAAACCUGGAGUUGUGUUCUUGACCUGGCUUACCCGAGCGGACAACUCGAGCCAAAGAGGGGGCAACGUACCGGGAGCACUGAAGUUUAUCCAGCCUUGUUGCUGGCCUAGCCUUGUUCUAUUUGGUAUAACUCCUACAGAAAAAGCGGGUCGCCCGAACAUGUGCACCAUUUUUAGAAGACUUAGAGAGGUGGCAUAAGAAGACAGUUAUGUACAAUUCAAAUAAUAUCAAAGUGGUAAACAGACAACAGUUAGCACAAAACGUUCACAAAAUACAGUAAUAUCAACAAUAAAUAAAGCUAAGUAAAAAUAAUAUUAACAAGCUCGAAUUCUUGAACCUGAAUUAGAGAUUCUGGGUAGUUGUCUCCUACAGAGUCGCCAGAGUUGUCACACCUCCUCUUUAUCACCCCGAGAGGAGGUACUAGGGAGUUUUUUCCAAUUUAAGUGACAAUCGAAACGGGAUCAUUUAUAUUAAAUUCAGAGUCGCCACUUGGGAUAAUUUAUGGUAUCCCAAGUCACAGGUUUAAAAUUCCGAAUUAAGGAAGUUGACUCUAUUUACGGUCCACGAACACAGAAAUUCGGGUAAGGAAUUUUGUUAACCUAAGAGAAGGUGUUAGGCAUUCCCGAGUUCCGUGGUUCUAGCACGGUCGCUUUGAUCAUACUUGGCUUAUUAAAAUUGUUUAACUACUGAUUUUAGAACCUAUGUGCAUUUGCCUCUUUUAAUUAAGAAAUUAUCUUUAAACAAGUCACGCGUACGUUUACCCAUUUGUUUGGCGCGUCAAAAAUCAUGUCAUGUGAACGUGUCCACAAGUAAUAACGCUUUAUUAUUUUUAUGAAAGUUUGGCCAAAGUUGCGCGAACGCAUGCUCCGGUUUUGUUUUUAGAAUCAAAAUUACGUCACGCGAACGUGUACGCAACUACGAUGGUAUUUUAGAUGUGCCUAAAGCAAACUACGAACAUUUGUCAUUUUUAUAUCUAGGUUAUGAAAUUAAUACGAGGGUCAUGUAUGAUUAAAUCAUGGAUGGCAUACUUCGGACUAUAUAAACUAAAUUUAAAUUAGCGACCUAUUAAAACAAUUUUAUUAUUAAGAAAGUUUGAUCGAUGUUGCGCGAACGCAUACUCCGAAUUAGUUUGUAGAAUCUUAAUUAUGUCACGCGAACGUGUACACAAUCACAAAAGAACUUAUUAAUCAUUAUUAAGAUUGUUGCGCCUAAUUUAGUCAUUAGAAACAUUUCAAUUCAAUCAUCCACACAAACAUAUAAAAUAGAUAACCAAGCAAAGAAGAACAAAGAUAAUCCAAAGUAAGUGAAAUACGAAAGUUACGAACAAUAAAAUAAGAGAACAUAUGACCAGAACUAACAUGUAUUUUGAAGGAGAAGGAUAUUCUUCUUUUUUUUUUUUUUAAACUAAUCACUACGAAAGAACCUUUAAAAUACGAUUAAGGAAGAGCAAUGUAAUGCUGGGUAUUCCAUUUUGAGAGCUUUAAACUAUUUGAUAAGAGCAAAUUCACAAUUGAGAAAUAAAACCAAGUUUAACUCCAUGAACGAAACAGACUCCAUGGCACUUAAUUUGAACUCAAGAUUUCACUGAUUGUCCAUCAACUUUCAAGCAAAGCACAAUUUACUCAUCACUCUUAAUGAGGCCAAAUAAACUUUUUGAAUACAUUCUUCACAUGGAAUUAGACUAGACAAGUAUAGGAAGGAAUAAAAUCUUACCCAAACACAUGCUCCUAAAUAGUCGAGCAACUGGUUCUCAUCACAACAAUACUACGACAAGAAGGGAUCCAAACAAUUUGAACAGUAAUUCAUUCGGGAACGAACAAUCAGCAACGAAUUUUAGCACACCCCAACUACGAAUUUAAAAUUGAUUGAUUGAAUUUUAAGAAAAGACAGGAGUAAAAUCUGACCUCAGAUCUGAAAUCCAAUACGAAAAUUGAAACAAUUUCGAGCAAAGAAUCGCAACCAAGACUCAACGAAGGACCUCGACUCUCCAACGAUGACUGAAGUUGACAACUACUGCUGCUGGAAUCUCAUAUUAGAUCCCAAAAUCGGCACAAAUCGAAGAUGGCGCCAGCAACCUCGAUGAAUCUCGACCAACAAUUGAUGAGAUAUCACCGAAAAUAAAAUCCCACGAACAAAAGAUUGACUGAAGGGCUGAAAUUCGUGAAGCUGUUAUUUGGUGGUUAUUUCAGAUGCGUUCAUGGUGUUCAACAACAGCUGAUUGCUGGCUGGAAUUGGAGGAGGUCAUCACCGGCAAGAUGAAGAAGAAGAAAGUGGUCAGCGGCGGCGAUGGUUGGUGUCUGGUCGCUGCUGCCCUUCGUUGAAGAAGAUGGGUUUCCUUGGUUUAUUGUUGAGGAAGAAGCAUAACGGAUCCUUAAGGGUCUUAGGUUUAGGUUACUUUUUCCAUGAAGGAGAUGAAACCCAAGGUUUUUGGACUCUCAAGCAGAUGAACGAAAAUCUGAUGGGAUCGUCCUUUUUCUCAAAAAUGGCGGAUUGGAUUUUUAGGCAUCUAGGUCUUGUGCUAGCUCUAG